UACGUAGGGGGCAAGCGUUGUCCGGAUUUAUUGGGCGUAAAGAGCGUGUAGGCGGCCUGGUAGGUCAGCUGUGAAAACUCGAGGCUCAACCUCGAGACGUCGGUUGAAACCACCUGGCUAGAGUCCGGAAGAGGAGAGUGGAAUUCCCGGUGUAGCGGUGAAAUGCGCAGAUAUCAGGAGGAACACCGGUGGCGAAGGCGGGUCUCUGGGCCGAUACUGACGCUGAGGAGCGAAAGCGUGGGGAGCGAACAGG
rnacentral:rRNA from 1 species